UACGGGGGGGCAGCAGUGUUGUCGGAUUUACUGGGCGUAAAGGGCGCGUAGGCGGUCGUGACAAGUCACUUGUGAAAUCUCCGGGCUUAACUCGGAACGGUCAAGUGAUACUGUCGGACUAGAGUACAGAAGGGGCAACUGGAAUUCUCGGUGUAGCGGUGAAAAUGCGUAGAUAUCGAGAGGAAACACCUGCGGCGAAGGCGGGGUUGCUGGGCUGAUACUGACGCUGAGGCACGAAAAGACCAGGGGAGCGAACGGG
rnacentral:rRNA from 1 species